rnacentral:rRNA from 1 species
AUUGAACGCUGGCGGCAUGCUUUACACAUGCAAGUCGAACGGCAGCGCGGGCUUCGGCCUGGCGGCGAGUGGCGAACGGGUGAGUAAUACAUCGGAACGUGCCCAGUAGUGGGGGAUAGCUCGGCGAAAGCCGGAUUAAUACCGCAUACGACCUGAGGGUGAAAGCGGGGGAUCUUCGGACCUCGCGCUCUUGGAGCGGUCGAUGGCAGAUUAGCUAGUUGGUGGGGUAAAGGCCUACCAAGGCGACGAUCUGUAGCUGGUCUGAGAGGACGACCAGCCACACUGGGACUGAGACACGGCCCAGACUCCUACGGGAGGCAGCAGUGGGGAAUUUUGGACAAUGGGCGAAAGCCUGAUCCAGCAAUGCCGCGUGUGUGAUGAAGGCCUUCGGGUUGUAAAGCACUUUUGGCGGGAACGAAAAGGACUGUGCCAAUACCACGGUUCGAUGACGGUACCCGCAGAAUAAGCACCGGCUAACUACGUG